rnacentral:rRNA from 1 species
GUUUGAUCAUGGCUCAGGAUGAACGCUAGCGACAGGCUUAACACAUGCAAGUCGAGGGGCAGCGGGGUGUAGCAAUACACCGCCGGCGACCGGCGCACGGGUGAGUAACGCGUAUGCAACUUGCCUAUCAGAGGGGGAUAACCCGGCGAAAGUCGGACUAAUACCGCAUGAAGCAGGGAUCCCGCAUGGGAAUAUUUGCUAAAGAUUCAUCGCUGAUAGAUAGGCAUGCGUUCCAUUAGGCAGUUGGCGGGGUAACGGCCCACCAAACCGACGAUGGAUAGGGGUUCUGAGAGGAAGGUCCCCCACAUUGGUACUGAGACACGGACCAAACUCCUACGGGAGGCAGCAGUGAGGAAUAUUGGUCAAUGGCCGAGAGGCUGAACCAGCCAAGUCGCGUGAGGGAUGAAGGUUCUAUGGAUCGUAAACCUCUUUUAUAAGGGAAUAAAGUGCGGGACGUGUCCCGUUUUGUAUGUACCUUAUGAAUAAGGAUCGGCUAACUCCGUGCCAGCAGCCGCGGUAAUACGGAGGAUCCGAGCGUUAUCCGGAUUUAUUGGGUUUAAAGGGUGCGUAGGCGGCCUUUUAAGUCAGCGGUGAAAGUCUGUGGCUCAACCAUAGAAUUGCCGUUGAAACUGGGGGGCU